GUCAGGUAGAGAAUACUCAGGCGCUUGAGAGAACUCGGGUGAAGGAACUAGGCAAAAUGGUGCCGUAACUUCGGGAGAAGGCACGCUCCUGUCGGUGAAGUCCCUUGCGGACGGAGCUGACGGGAGUCGCAGAUACCAGCUGGCUGCAACUGUUUAAUAAAAACACAGCACUGUGCAAACACGAAAGUGGACGUAUACGGUGUGACGCCUGCCCGGUGCCGGAAGGUUAAUUGAUGGGGUCAGCCGCAAGGCGAAGCUCUUGAUCGAAGCCCCGGUAAACGGCGGCCGUAACUAUAACGGUCCUAAGGUAGCGAAAUUCCUUGUCGGGUAAGUUCCGACCUGCACGAAUGGCGUAAUGAUGGCCAGGCUGUCUCCACCCGAGACUCAGUGAAAUUGAACUCGCUGUGAAGAUGCAGUGUACCCGCGGCAAGACGGAAAGACCCCGUGAACCUUUACUAUAGCUUGACACUGAACCUUGAGCCUUGAUGUGUAGGAUAGGUGGGAGGCUUUGAAGCGAGGGCGCCAGUUCUUGUGGAGCCAACCUUGAAAUACCACCCUUUAAUGUUUGAUGUUCUAACGUAGGCCCGUGAUCCGGGUUGCGGACAGUGUCUGGUGGGUAGUUUGACUGGGGCGGUCUCCUCCCAAAGAGUAACGGAGGAGCACGAAGGUUAGCUAAUCCUGGUCGGACAUCAGGAGGUUAGUGCAAAGGCAUAAGCUAGCUUGACUGCGAGAGUGACAGCUCGAGCAGGUGCGAAAGCAGGUCUUAGUGAUCCGGUGGUUCUGAAUGGAAGGGCCAUCGCUCAACGGAUAAAAGGUACUCCGGGGAUAACAGGCUGAUACCGCCCAAGAGUUCAUAUCGACGGCGGUGUUUGGCACCUCGAUGUCGGCUCAUCACAUCCUGGGGCUGAAGUAGGUCCCAAGGGUAUGGCUGUUCGCCAUUUAAAGUGGUACGCGAGCUGGGUUUAGAACGUCGUGAGACAGUUCGGUCCCUAUCUGCCGUGGGCGUUGGAAGAUUGAGAGGGGUUGCUCCUAGUACGAGAGGACCGGAGUGAACGCACCACUGGUGUUCGGGUUGUGAUGCCAAUUGCAUUGCCCGGUAGCUAAGUGCGGAAGAGAUAACCGCUGAAAGCAUCUAAGCGGGAAACUUGCCUCGAGAUGAGUCUUCCCUGGGCACUAGAUGCCCCUGAAGGGCCGUUGAAGACUACGACGUAGAUAGGCUGGGUGUGUAAGCGUAGCGAUACGUUGAGCUAACCAGUACUAAUGACCCGAGAGGCUUAACCUUACAACACC
rnacentral:rRNA from 1 species